AUGUAUUCUAUUCGAGUGUUGUCGUUUCAAAAAAAAAAUAAGCCUCACUUUUACUGUCUUUUUCUCUCUCUCUAUCUUUUUCGGGCUUGGAUGGUUAAAAACAAAAAUUUCUCCAAUACACAUUACAUUGGAAAGGAUUUGUUUUAUUUUGUAAUUUAUAAUUUGGUUGAAUGAAUGUAUGGAUAUUUUUUUUUUUGAUAUUAUUAUUCUCGCCUGGUCUUGCUUCGAGUCGAUGCUAAUUAUCUAUGUGUGAAUAAUUUGUAUAUGUGAUUUUAUAAAUAAUAUCGAACAUCAAAUUCAAUCAUUGACAUUGAUGUAAUAAAGAUCUUUUUUACUUUUGUUCGAAUGUACAUCAUAAACAAACACAACAACAAAAAAAUGCACUGAAUAUUUAUCAGUUGAAAACUAUUUCCAUAUCAUAAUUGUGAAUUAUUCGUCUGUAAUCUCGUAAUUGUAAUCAAUCAAAAUAUCAGCUAAAAAUUUCAUCGACUUAUACUGUUUCAUGACGAAAAAUAUCAAAAAUCAUCUAUAUCCG